rnacentral:lncRNA from 10 species
UAGAUCUGUCACUCAUUCUCUUAGGGGCUUCAAGUGUCUUUCUGCUUAUAAUGCCAUGCACCUCUGUCACAGGAAAUCAUUUUGUUGCUUCAGAGCUUUCUUUGGUGAUCACAUUGAAUAGCAAAAGGGUUAACAGGUAUUGAAGAACAUGCUCACACACACACACACACACACACACACACACACAAGACAAGCAACUACUGUG